rnacentral:rRNA from 1 species
AUUGAACGCUGGCGGCAUGCCUUACACAUGCAAGUCGAACGGUAACGGGCCUUCGGGUGCCGACGAGUGGCGAACGGGUGAGUAAUACAUCGGAACGUGCCCGAUCGUGGGGGAUAACGCGGCGAAAGCUUUGCUAAUACCGCAUACGAUCUACGGAUGAAAGCAGGGGACCGCAAGGCCUUGCGCGGACGGAGCGGCCGAUGGCAGAUUAGGUAGUUGGUGGGAUAAAAGCUUACCAAGCCGACGAUCUGUAGCUGGUCUGAGAGGAUGAUCAGCCACACUGGGACUGAGACACGGCCCAGACUCCUACGGGAGGCAGCAGUGGGGAAUUUUGGACAAUGGGCGCAAGCCUGAUCCAGCCAUGCCGCGUGCAGGAUGAAGGCCUUCGGGUUGUAAACUGCUUUUGUACGGAACGAAAAGCCUUCUUUUAAUACAGGAGGGUCAUGACGGUACCGUAAGAAUAAGCACCGGCUAACUACGUG